GGCAGUUUUUGGGUGACGCACCCCAGAAUCAGGCUCUCUCCUCUGGUUCUGGGUGCGUCACUGGAGUACCACU
rfam:Myotis lucifugus cont2.30207, whole genome shotgun sequence.